UACGAAGGGGGGCUAGCGUUGUUCGGAUUUACUGGGCGUAAAGCGUGCGCAGGCGGUUCGCUAAGACAGAUGUGAAAUCCCCGGGCUUAACCUGGGAACUGCAUUUGUGACUGGCGGGCUAGAGUAUGGCAGAGGGGGGUAGAAUUCCACGUGUAGCAGUGAAAUGCGUAGAGAUGUGGAGGAAUACCGAUGGCGAAGGCAGCCCCCUGGGCCAAUACUGACGCUCAUGCACGAAAGCGUGGGGAGCAAACAGG
rnacentral:rRNA from 1 species